rnacentral:ribozyme from 1 species
UAAAGGCUCUGUUCUGUAAAAGGGUUCGAUCCGAUGCCUUUAGGAGGCUACUAUAGGCUCUCCUUCUCAACCCCUACUCAAUACGUCCACGACGUGCAGAACGGUAACUUGUCGCCUAGAUCCAAGCUUGGGUACACGGGGAAACCCA